rnacentral:rRNA from 1 species
UGGGGAAUAUUGGACAAUGGGCGCAAGCCUGAUCCAGCAAUGCCGCGUGUGUGAAGAAGGCCUUCGGGUUGUAAAGCACUUUUAUCAGGAGCGAAACGCUGUCGGCCAAUACCCGGCGGAACUGACGGUACCUGAGGAAUAAGCACCGGCUAACUUCGUGCCAGCAGCCGCGGUAAUACGAAGGGUGCAAGCGUUAAUCGGAAUUACUGGGCGUAAAGCGUGCGUAGGCGGUUUCUUAAGUCUGCUGUGAAAUCCCCGGGCUCAACCUGGGAAUGGCAGUGGAUACUGGGGGCUAGAGUGUGUCAGAGGGUGGUGGAAUUCCCGGUGUAGCGGUGAAAUGCGUAGAGAUCGGGAGGAACAUCAGUGGCGAAGGCGGCCACCUGGGACAACACUGACGCUGAGGCACGAAAGCGUGGGGAGCAAACAGGAUUAGAUACCCUGGUAGUCCACGCCCUAAACGAUGCGAACUGGAUGUUGGUCUCAACUCGGAGAUCAGUGUCGAAGCUAACGCGUUAAGUUCGCCGCCUGGGGAGUACGGUCGCAAGACUGAAACUCAAA